rnacentral:lncRNA from 12 species
CCGUGGUCUUAAAACAAAGGCCUCCGCUCCACCUCCUCAGUCUGAGGACGGUUCGCUUCCCCAUCCCCCCAAACACUCAAAGGAAGAAGAAGCAUCAGGUCUGCUAGAGCAAAAUAAAACCAAACCAACAAUAGCAAGCUUGGGGGCUAUCUCCCCCACCCCUCUUUACACCCUGGGAUCCCAGUGUCUACGUUAAACAGUGGAUACCCCCCUUCUCUAAUAUAAUGAUGGCAGCAGUUUUUAAAAAUGAGGAUUUCCCUCUUAACCAUUUGUAGAGAAACUUGGUUAGUGAGUCUGUGUGUUAUGACAGUUCCUAGGACAGCGCCAAGAUGCUCUUUUGGGGAAAAGAUAGUACAUUUGCUCAAGAUGUCACCCAAAGUUUUAGAGCACAGUGAAUGUGCCACACAGAGGAGAAGAAUUUGUAAGGCUAGACUCCCUCGCAAAGUUAAACAUCAGGGCAAACAGAGCCAAAAGGAUGACAUAGCCUUGCAGCUUCCAGCUUUGCUAAUGAAAUCAAUCAGAAUGUUCAUUAAAGUAAUCCCAGAACUCGGCACGUCCACAGCUUGUUACUGCUGGAGAACUUUCCAGGAUAUCCAGGCAUCUUGCUGUGUGUGAGCAGGCUCAGAACAAGAAGCUCUUAACAUGCUCUGAAAGUAAACCUGCAACCCAAGAGAAGCGGAGGGUGCUAAGAGAGCACAGAGCCUUUACCUGUAGCACCUACCACUGGGCUUGGCAAAGAGGAAGCUGGAAGGCCAGCUCCAAGUGAGUGCACUUUUCCUUUUCCAGAUGAAUUGCAUUAGAUACUCAGUGAACUUGUGAGUGAUGUCACCAAAAUACAGUUAGCAACCAUUAAGAAAUUUGGAAGAAGGAAAAAGUUAUGAAUUAGGCAUGGAUUUCAAAUGACACCGGGAUGUUCACUCACUCACUUUGUUCACUCACAGUACUAGCACAGUAUUGUCAUUUUACAUGACUUUUAAUAUAAUUGCUUAAUUCUGCAAGAUGGUCUGUAGCUCUCUGCCUUAUGGCCACCUCUGUCUCACUUACCUUUCACUGUCCAAACACCCUGAGACUCAGUCCAAGAAGGGAGGUGAUGAGAGCUGAUAUUAUUGGCUACGCUAAGUGCUUCCCAUGCACUUUAUCAAACGAUGUUUACCUAAUUAAGAGGGUCCACUAAAGAGAUUUUCUUGAGCAAAGAAAGACUGCUCCAUGUUCUGGUGUACAUUUUAAACACCUCUCAGACACCUUAUUACCCCCAAAGUGUCAGGUGACUCUACCAACUAAUGACCAGUUAUUUGACGAGAUGUUCAACAAGAUUCUAGACUGUAUUGUAAAGGCAGUUUCGAUAGCCUGUUGUAUAAUAAGUAAUUGAAGAACCACCAGUGUUUAACUGAGGGUGUCUGGCCCUGCAUGACCAUUGGACACAUACGAAUCACUACGUAAAGGGGCAGCUCCUGUAAAAAUUCACUAUUCAUAAUCUUUGUUCUGAACUGCCUUUCUGGAUGUGUUCUUCCUACUGUUUCUCUUCUACUCCUGACCCUCUGAGCUAAUAAAUUUACUGUUUGAUGUCCUUCUUCUGUUCCC